rnacentral:rRNA from 1 species
GUCUGCGGCCAUACCACCCUGAACGCGCCCGAUCUCGUCUGAUCUCGGUAGCUAAGCAGGGUUGGGCCUAGUUAGUACUUGGGUGGGAGAAAUGAGGCGCUAAAUUGCAAGUUUAGGGUGGCGGAAU